rnacentral:rRNA from 1 species
UAUGUAGGCGGGACUGUAAGCGUCUUGUGAAAUCCCUCGGCUUAACCGAGGAAUUGCUUGGCGAACUACUGUCCUUGAGGCAAGUAGGGGUGCAUGGAACUCUUGGUGGAGCGGUGGAAUGCGUAGAUAUCAAGAGGAACGCCGAUGGAGAAAUCAGUGCACUGGGCUUGUCCUGACGCUGAGAUACGAAAGCGUGGGGAGCGAACAGGAUUAGAUACCCUGGUAGUCC